GCGGGAUCUGGAUUUGGGAUCCUCCUUGUGGGAUCUGGAUUUGGGAUCCUCCUCCUUGCAGGGUCUGGAUUUGGGAUCCUCCUGGUGUGAUCUGGAUUUGGGAUCCUGCUCCUUGCAGGGUCUGGAUUUGGGAUCCUCCUGGCGGGAUCUGGAUUUGGGAUCCUGCUCCUGGUGGAAUGUGGGUUUGGGAUCCUCCUUGUGGGAUCUGUGCCUGGGAUCCUCCUCCUUUUAGGAUUUGCUUUUGGGAUCCUCCUGGUGGGAUUUGGGUUUGGGAUCCUCCUCCUUGCAGGAUCUGCAUUUGGGAUCCCGCUGCUGAUGGGAUUUGCUUUUGGGAUCCUCCUGGCGGGAUCUGCAUUUGGGAUCCUCCCUGCAGGAUCUGCUUUUGGGAUCCUGUUCCUUGUGGGAUCUGCAUUUGGGAUCCUCCUUGUAGGGUCUGAAUUUGGGAUCCUGAUCCUUUCAAGGUCUGAAUUUGGGAUCCUCCCGGCGGGAUCUGCAUUUGGGAUCCUCCUUGUAGGGUCUGAAUUUGGGAUCCUCCUUGUAGGGUCUGAAUUUGGGAUCCUCCUUGUAGGGUCUGAAUUUGGGAUCCUCCUUGUAGGGUCUGAAUUUGGGAUCCUCCUUGUAGGGUCUGAAUUUGGGAUCCUCCUUGUAGGGUCUGAAUUUGGGAUCCUCCUUGUAGGGUCUGAAUUUGGGAUCCUCCUUGUAGGGUCUGAAUUUGGGAUCCUCCUUGUAGGGUCUGAAUUUGGGAUCCUCCUUGUAGGGUCUGAAUUUGGGAUCCUCCUUGUAGGGUCUGAAUUUGGUCUGGGAUCCUGAUCCUUUCAGGGUCUGAAUUUGGGGGGGGGGGGGGGGGGGGGGGGGGGGGGGGGGGGG
rnacentral:lncRNA from 12 species